rnacentral:rRNA from 1 species
AGUGAACGCUGGCGGCGUGCCUAAUACAUGCAAGUCGAACGGAGUGGCGCACGGGUGAGUAAUAUAUAGCUAAUCUGCCCCUUGCUGGAGGACAACAGUUAGAAAUGACUGCUAAUACUCCAUAGCAAGGGAUGAGACUAUAUCGUAUCAGCUAGUCGGUGGGGUAACGGCCUACCGAGGCUAUAACGCGUAACUGGUCUGAGAGGAUGAUCAGUAACAUUGAAGGUAAGCAGCGGUCCAAACUCGUCCGGAAGGCAGGAGUGGGGAAUAUGGCGAAAUGGGGGAACCCUGACGCAGCAACGCCGCGUGGAGGAUGACACUUUUCGGAGCGUAAACUCCUUUUGUUAGGGAAGCGGUACCUAACGAAUAAGCACCGGCUAACUCCGUGCCAGCAGCCGCGGUAAUAC